GUUUAACAGACUCAAUUUCUGAUAUUAACUUUAUACUUUGAUCAUUUUUCAUAGGAAUUUUAAGAGAACGUUGGUAGAAAUUGCUGCUUUAUUUAUUAUAGUUUUUUAUCCAGGUAUAGAAUCCUGUAGCAGUUUUCCUGGGCUACAUGGAGGCUGGGUCCAUGAUUCUUCUGAGAGAAAACUGUAUCCUUUCUUCUGUCAGGUUACCACAGCAGAGAUUUUACAUCUGAGGCUUUCAACCCUUCAUGCCAGGCUAGAAAGCACUUUGGGACACCAAGACAGGAGAAUAACUUGAGUUCCAGAGCAUCCUGGGAAACAUAGAAAGACCUGGUCUCCACAAAAUUAGAAAACAGAUGCAAUAAUACAGAAACAUUUUGCUAAUAUCAAGAAUGUGGCUUUCCCCUACUACCUAUUGGUGUGGAAGUACAAAAGAAAGAUGAGAUAUGUCAUGGAAAAUACAGAAGCCAAAUUUUAUUUUGCAGAACAGAAUGUAACAUGUGACUUCUAAAAGUUCC
rnacentral:lncRNA from 1 species